CCGGAUAUUAUCAGACGCUGGGGGCUUCCCGGCGCCUCAUUGCCCGAAGAGAGGCGGCCGCAGGUAGCUGAGCUGGAGCUAGCACCAGUUGAAUUCACCAAAUAGAAGACAUUGGAAAUGAGACCCGAGGGGUUGGAGGAGGAGGAAGCCUGCAAUGUGAACAUGACGGCUGGAGCUCUGGCAGCCAUUCUGGACCAGGAGGUAGCCUUGAAGAUGGAAGCCACAUGUUGGGAUGGUGAAUCCAAAAGAUGAGCAGCCUGUAUUCCCUGUGACACCAGAGCUGCCAUAGCAGCCCUGGGUUCCUCCAUCUAUACUGCCUUCAUAUGGUAAAGAAAUAUUCUUGUAUCUUGUUAGGUGUCUGUUGCAGCCAAACACAAUCCCAACUGAUAUUCACUGUAAAUGAUUCCAUGGCUCCCUGUAGUACUUUUACAAAGCAUCUAUCACAAUUGUAAUUAAUAAAAUAAUUAUGCAAUUACUGGUUUAAUGCCUAA